rnacentral:lncRNA from 1 species
CGGUUCCCGCUCGCGCCUCUCCCUCCACACCUCCCUGCAAGCUGAGGGAGUGGACUCUGGCCUUGGCCAGCCCAGAAAGGGGCUCCCACAGUGCAGCCGUGGGCUGAAGGGCUCCUCAAGUGCCGCCAAAGUGGGAGCCCAGGCAGAGGAGUCGCCGAGAGCGAGCGCGGGCUGUGAGGACUGCCAGCACGCUGUCACCUCUCAAUAACGCCCAUCCCAACGUUUCCUGAGGAAUAAUUUUGGUCGUGUUCCUGCUACUCAGCUUUUCGUGGUUCCUGCUCAUUUUCAGAGUCUAACAUUCCAGCUUUUCCGGAAAUUCGAAGUCUGCAGUGGGGAGAAGUGGUGAGGUGGUCACACACAUUCUGGUCCAUGUCCCUACCAAGUUUCUACUCUUCUUCCCACAAGGCUGCCUCUGACUUGAGGGUUCAAGAGAAGAAGAGGAAAGAGAUACUUUGAUGUAAAAGUUUUCAAAGAAAUGCUUUGGGCAGAAGAGACUCAUGGAAACUGGACACUAUAUCUGGAGCCAGGAAUAAUAGGAUCCGAGAAACAGUAACAAGUAUAAAACAGAGUGGUCUUGAACUCCUGGCCUCAAGUAAUCCUCCCCACUGGGCUUCCCAAAGUGCUGGGACUACAGAGAAUCUUAACCCAAAAGAAGAAUGAGCCAAGAACAUGAACAGACAAUUCAAAGAAAAGGAAAUGACCUUUAAACAUAUGAAACAAUGUCCAACUUCAGGCAAUAAGAGAAAUGCACUUAUUAAGACUACAAGAAAAUGCCUUAUUUUUUCAUCUAUCAGUCUUGCAAAGAUUUGAAAGUUGACUAUUAUAUCAUUUUGACAAAAAGGGAUCUGGUCUUCAACAAGUACAGGAAAGAAUCUCUUCUAGCAGUGGGAAGAAAAAGUGCAAACUUUGGACCCAUUACAUGGUGGAAGCUUCAGAAAUCUUUGUGCUAUGAAUAAGGUGAGCUGUCAUUCCACUAAUAAGAACUCCAAGACUCUUUCAGUAAUCUCAUUUUUGUUUGAGGUACCAAACAACACAAAGGAAUAACAGUCCUCUAGAUACGGUUUGGUAGUGACAGUGAGAGCAAGCCUCCACGUGGGAAGCAGAGCGUUUGUCUGGACUGCUGUGACUUGUGACUCUUCUGUAGUCAUGUGUAACAUGUGG